rnacentral:piRNA from 1 species
UAGAAUCUGGCCCAUUUCCGGAAACCAA